AUUGAACGCUGGCGGCAGGCCUAACACAUGCAAGUCGAACGAGUGGUGGACGGGUGAGUAAUGUCUGGGCAACUGCCUGAUGGAGGGGGAUAACUACUGGAAACGGUAGCUAAUACCGCAUACCAUCAGAUGUGCCCAGGUGGGAUUAGCUAGUUGGUGGGGUAACGGCUCACCAAGGCGACGAGCCCUAGCUGGUCUGAGAGGCUGACCGGCCACACUGGAACUGGGACACGGUCCAGACGCCUAUGGUAGGCAGCAGUGGGGAAUAGUGCACAAUGGGCGCAAGCCUGAUGCAGUCAUGCCGCGUGUAUGAAGAAGGCCUGCGGGGUGUAAAGUACUUUAAGCGGGGAGGCGGUACCCGCAGAAGAAGCACCGGCUAACUCCGUGCCAGCAGCCGCGGUAAUUC
rnacentral:rRNA from 1 species